rnacentral:rRNA from 1 species
CCCUAGUAACGGCGAGUGAAGCGGCAACAGCUCAAAUUUGAAAUCUGGCUUCGGCCCGAGUUGUAAUUUGCAGAGGAAGCUUUAGGCGCGGCACCAUCUGAGUCCCCUGGAACGGGGCGCCAUAGAGGGUGAGAGCCCCGUAUAGAUGGACGCCUAGCCUGUGUAAAGCUCCUUCGACGAGUCGAGUAGUUUGGGAAUGCUGCUCAAAAUGGGAGGUAAAUUUCUUCUAAAGCUAAAUAUUGGCCAGAGACCGAUAGCGCACAAGUAGAGUGAUCGAAAGAUGAAAAGCACUUUGAAAAGAGGGUUAAAUAGCACGUGAAAUUGUUGAAAGGGAAGCGCUUGUGACCAGACUUGCGCCGGGCGGAUCAUCCGGUGUUCUCACCGGUGCACUCCGCCCGGCUCAGGCCAGCAUCGGUUCUCGCGGGGGGAUAAAGGCCCUGGGAACGUAGCUCCUCCGGGAGUGUUAUAGCCCGGGGCGUAAUGCCCUCGCGGGGACCGAGGACCGCGCAUCUGCAAGGAUGCUGGCGUAAUGGUCAUCAGCGACCCGUCUUGAAACACGGACCAAGGAGUCAAGGUUUUGCGCGAGUGUUUGGGUGUAAAACCCGCACGCGUAAUGAAAGUGAACGUAGGUGAGAGCUUCGGCGCAUCAUCGACCGAUCCUGAUGUUUUCGGAUGGAUUUGAGUAGGAGCGUUAAGCCUUGGACCCGAAAGAUGGUGAACUAUGCUUGGAUAGGGUGAAGCCAGAGGAAACUCUGGUGGAGGCUCGCAGCGGUUCUGACGUGCAAAUCGAUCGUCAAAUCUGAGCAUGGGGCGAAAGACUAAUCGAA